GAUGAACGCUGGCGGCGUGCCUAAUACAUGCAAGUAGAACGCUGAAGGAGGAGCUUGCUCUUCUGGAUGAGUUGCGAACGGGUGAGUAACGCGUAGGUAACCUGCCUGGUAGCGGGGGAUAACUAUUGGAAACGAUAGCUAAUACCGCAUGACAACAGUUAUUGCAUGAUAACUGUUUAAAAGGGGCAACUGCUCCACUACCAGAUGGACCUGCGUUGUAUUAGCUAGUUGGUGAGGUAACGGCUCACCAAGGCGACGAUACAUAGCCGACCUGAGAGGGUGAUCGGCCACACUGGGACUGAGACACGGCCCAGACUCCUACGGGAGGCAGCAGUAGGGAAUCUUCGGCAAUGGACGGAAGUCUGACCGAGGAACGCCGCGGGAGUGAAGAAGGUUUUCGGAUCGUAAAGCUCUGUUGUAAGAGAAGAACGAGUGUGAGAGUGGAAAGUUCACACUGUGACGGUAUCUGACCAGAAAGGGACGGCUAACUACGUG
rnacentral:rRNA from 1 species